rnacentral:tRNA from 1 species
UCUCUUAAUUCCUUAAAUUUAAUUUCGACCUAAAUUUUUGAUUAUAAUUUAUAAUCUAAGAGAA